CCGCACGUUGCUGCCUCUUUCGCUGCGGUCAGCGUGCCUUAGCUUCGUGCGUACUUAGUUUCCGUGUCGCGGUGACUGUUGGGCCCUCAUUUGUGAGCAGCCAAGAUGCGGGCGGCACAAGACCGUUGCGGUGCAGGCCGCCGGCCGUCAGCAGCACAGAAGCCUGGUGAGGGCUAGCACGCGGACCACAGCCAUGGACCUCCACCCGAGGACCUCCACCGUCACGGAUGGUAACACUGGAACUCAUUGCUGUUUGGUGAUGGAAGACACGUUCAUGUAUUGUUAAAGCAAAGUAGUAGUGGCUAAGCUCUUCCGGGCACCUUACAGGGGAUCUUCGCAUUUAAAUCUUGGUAAUGGGCAUUGUGAAUGUUAAUAUAGCACUGUUUUGAGUGGCUGGCCGCUAUUUCGUAUGAAGUUUUUAAUAAGCCAAAUAAAGUUUGGUUGAUGAGUAA